GCGUUUACAAAUACCAUUGAAAACUUUUCAAAGAAUACACAGUGUUUGAAAAUACCAUUGAAAAUUAACUUAAUUUUCUGAUUGAAGUUGUUUCACAAUUUGAUUCAUGAAUGUGUCAUUAUUUCAGUGAAAGGGUUUGACAACACUCUGUUUGACUUUCUAUUUAAAAGAUCCUCGAGUUUUAUGGUAAUGAUGCAAACCUUCAAAUUGUUAGAGGCCGAAAUUUCAUUGAUUUGGCUUAGUUGUUGAGAAAGAAAAUAAAAAGGAGCCUGCUAAGAUCGUUAUAAGCCAAAAUCUUAAUGUUGGAAAAUGUAUUGUUUUUUUUGGAAGUAGAAUCCCUUUUGUGAAUCUUUAAAACCAAUUAUAUAUUGUCAUAAUGAACAAAUGAGGGUCUAGUUGGGGAUUACAUACUGUUGAUUCAUAAUUAUUCCUUGAAUACCAAUUUUUGUGGAUUUCGUGGGUACAAGUUAACCAUGAAAUUAAAUGUUCAACAAAUGACAUAUUUUUUUAUGGGAUAGUACAUUUUUUGCAGAGACCUCUAUAAAACCAUGAAAAUGAAUAUCAACAGACAUGCAAGUUUUCCUUAUCUAAUCCACGAAAAUUAGUACCUAAGAAAAUACAUAAAUCCACAGUCAUAUGGAUUAACAGGUGGGGAAGGGAUAAGGCAGAAACAAUAGAGGGAAAUGGACUUUUAAUUUAUGUAUACAGAAAGGAAGUUUCCCCAUUCUAGACCCUCACAAAUUAGGUGCUUUAUUAAGGAUUAGAACUUUUUAUUUGAUUAUUGUUUUGCCUACUAGUAUCUAGGAGGUCAUGUAAAUAUGUUAUUUAUUAUGAGGGAUACGUUAAAGUGUAUGAUACAUUCUGAGGGAUUAUUUAUAGUGUGUGAUACAUCGUGAGGGAUUAAUUAUAGUGUGUGCUACAUUAUAUUCAUGCAAUUUUUAUUUUUAUAUGUGUGUAUUUAUUGUAUUAAUUGUUUUUCUUUUUAUUGAUAUGAUUGUUCAUGUUCAUGUAUUUAAUACAGAGUAUGAGGUUACACAAAUUACAAAGUAUGAGGCUACACAAAUUACAAAGUAUGAGGCUACACAAAUUAAAAAGUAAUGGAAAGUAUGUCUUUGUCUGCAGAAAAAUGCAAAAAUAUUAAAAAAUUCAGAAAUUAUGGCGACUUUUUAUAAAUGCUAAAAAUGAGACUUGAUGAGAAUGUCAAUAAUAAAAAGUUGCAUUCUGAAUUUGGUACAUAAAUCUGUAUGCAGAUUAUCCUAAAAUUGCAAAAAAUAAUCUCACAUUUUUGUCCAUUCUUCAAAAAUCAUGAUAUUAAAUGCACACAAUUGGCCGUUUCAGAAUCUAAAGCAUCAUGGGUAAUUUCAUUGUUCGUACCCCAAAGUGAAAAUAACGUUUUGUCAUUGGUUGAAUUUCCAUUGUUUAUAACGUUUUAAACCAAUCAAAACGCUUUGGUGUAAGCUUUUGAAAAUAUUACCCAGGAUGCAUUAGAUUCUGAACAGCCAAUUAUAUCUGAAUUUUCAGUUGUUAAAGGGUAGAAAUUGACAGAGUGUUGAAAAAAUGGAUUUUGUAUGUGUCAUUGUAAAAUAUGAUUUAUUAGAGGAAAACAUGAUUUCAAAAAAUGGGCAUUCGUAUCAUAAUCUUUUACAAAUCAUCCAAUUUUAUGUUGAACAUGAAGUCCAAGCUUUGUUUGUUGGAACUGCUAGUCAAUGCAAUUUAGUAUGAUGGGACAUGGAGAAGGGUAGAAACCUACUAGCAAUGAAGUGUCCUAUUUUAAUUAUGAUAUGAUUUUUGUAAUGGUGUGUUAUGUUAUAAUGAAUCAAUAGUAUAGUAUAAAUAUAAAGUAUAAGUAUAAGUAUAAAUAACAAGGAUUUUUUGGAUUUUCAAAAAUAUGGCUUUUUAAUCUUUACGCAAAAAAUUAUGAAAAAAAGAUGGGUAAACAGGCAAAUUUUUAUAAUUGCAAUACAUGGAUAAAAUCAGAGAAGUCCAAAAAUCUGGCAAAAAUUCAUGAAUUCGAAUUUCCAUGAAAAGAAAUUUUUUUCUGUAAUCCUCGAAAUUUGUACCCAAGGAAAUUAAUGAAUCAACAGUGCAAAUGAUGAGAAUGUUUAUUAACAUGCUAUUAUUAAAUCUGCAUUUAUGAAUUAAAUAUUAUAGCCUGUUUUCUUGUUUUAAAAUGUUAUUAAAUGAUUUACAAUUGAUAAAAUUGUGUAUUGCAAACUAGAUUGUUGAAACUGAUUAUGAUUGGAAAUCUGUUCAGGGUAAUAAACACAGAAAUUACUGUUAA
rnacentral:lncRNA from 1 species